CCUGCCAAGUUUGCAAGAACGACAGAAAUGGCUACACCCAAAACGAAACUUAAUCAAAGGUGAUGUCGUUUUGAUGGUGAUGGAAGAUACUCCCAGAGGUGAAUGGCCUCUAGCGAUAGUUGAAGAAACAUUUCCCGAUAGCAACGGACAUGUUCGGCAAGUAGAGAUCCGCACGGCGAAUCAAAGUCGUUAUCGUCGAGAUGUCAGGAAGUUGUGCCUAUUGGAGACUGCGAAGUAAAGCGAGAAAUUCUUCAGAAAACGAACGUUAUUGUUGUUGUCACUUAACUGUUAUUAUUAUUUUGUUUACGUUAAACGACGGUAUCUAUUGGUUUAUGUUUGGUUAUUCGACAAGAUUGGUGGACACAUUGUUUAAAACUUGCGCAAGUUAACAUUGAAAACAUUUGUAUUGUAGCUCUCGAUCCUUUUUGAAUUAUUGAACGACGUAUAGUAGGUCGUUCGGGGCUGGUAUGUAGGAUCGAGAUGCAUAGAGCUUAGGUUAUGCUAAUUAUUAUGCUAAUUAUUAUAAACAAAAAGGGACCCGUAUAAAAGCAUGGUUCUUGGGGUCUUUUGAGAUUGAGCACAAUUCAUGUAUAGUGGUGUAUUUUUUGUACAUGGAUGUUUAUAUUUAGUGGCCAAAUUACGAGAACCGUACGUUUGACGCAUUGCAUUGAAAUAAAGACUUAUCUGUA